rnacentral:rRNA from 1 species
CACGAAGUUAGCCGGGGCUUCUUCUCCGGAUACCGUCAUUACCUUCUCCGGUGAAAGAGCUUUACAACCCUAAGGCCUUCAUCACUCACGCGGCAUGGCUGGAUCAGGCUUGCGCCCAUUGUCCAAUAUUCCCCACUGCUGCCUCCCGUAGGAGUUUGGGCCGUGUCUCAGUCCCAAUGUGGCUGAUCAUCCUCUCAGACCAGCUAUGGAUCGUCGCCUUGGUAGGCCUUUACCCCACCAACUAGCUAAUCCAACGCGGGCUCAUCCAUCCCCGAUAAAUCUUUCCCCCGUAGGGCGUAUGCGGUAUUAAUUCCAGUUUCCCAGAGCUAUUCCGCAGGGUUGGGUAGAUUCCCACGCGUUACUCACCCGUCUGCCACUCUCCUUGCGGAGCGUUCGACUUGCAUGUGUUAAGCCUGCCGCCAGCGUUCGUUCUGAGCCAGGAUCAAACUC